UUCUCUGACAAUGAGGAUGUUGGCUUAGAAGCAGCCACCAUUCAAAGAAAGCGUAACAGCUCACUCAUCGAGAGUUUCCGCGCCGAAGAUAAUCGGGGCUUAAGCAUGAUACCGAAACUGAGGGCUCGUGAGUUUCAUUGAGGAAAAUUGUUCUUUGGAAAAGAGUGCGAGGCGGUAGCUCAGUGGGAGAGCGCCUAAGCGAAUGGUGUGGUCGAGAUCGGGUUGCGAAAGCGGCCCCACUUCGAUAAAUCCAUGCACCUGUGCCAGCACGGCAAUACAGGUCUUCGCAAGGGAGGUCGAAGGUUCAAUCCCUUCCCGCUUCACCACUCUUUUCAUCACCGCCUCUGGUCGGUAAAACCAGUCCUCAAUGAAACUCGCGAGCGGUAGGAGAGCGUUUCGUAUGCGAUGAAGGUAAAGGGGUGACCCAUGCUGGAGCGUACGGAAGUGAGAAUGCCGGCACAAGUAACCGCAAUGCGGGUGAGAGCCCCGCACGCCGAAAGACUAAGGUUUCCUUGGCGAUGUCAAUCAGCCAAGGGUUAGUCGGUCCUAAGCCGAUGGCGAACGCCGCAGGCGAUGGAUACACGGUUAAUAUUCCGUGACUUUUACGUGUUUCGAUGGGAGGACGGAGCGCAGUAUGCCGCGCGCAUUAUUGGAUUUGCGUCCACGUAGUCAAGGUUGCUCUUUUGGAAAAUCCGGAGAGCUGUCUUCAAUGACACUCCUAAGCUACGGGGAGAUUCCCGCUUCGGCGGGAUAAUGUGGCAAAGCGCGCUUCCAAGAAAAUUCCCUAAGAAUAAAUACGUAGAAACCGUACCGCAAACCGACACAGGUAGUCAGGUCGAGUAGACCAAGGCGAACGAGUGAGUAUUCCCCAAGGAACUCGGCAAAAAAGCAGCCGUAACUUCGGAAUAAGGCUUGCCUCUCGCAAGAGAGGCUGCAACAAAAGUAUCCCUGCCAACUGUUUAUCAAAAACACAGCUCCCUGCGAACUCGUAAGAGGAUGUAUAGGGGGUGACGCCUGACCAAUGCCAGAAGGUCAACUACGGCUGGUGUACGCAUCACACUGCGUGUGAUGCGGAAUUACGAAUAUCGAAUCACGAAUUACGAAUAGUGCGGAUGCAUUUCCUCGUAAUUCUUACUUCGUACUUCGUUAUUCUGACGACAUCGCGCUUGGCGUGAUGCGUAUGCUGAGCUGUAUAAGCCCUGGUGAAUGUCGGCCGUAACUAUAACGGUCCUAAGGUUUCCGGUUUAUCUUCGGAUGAAUCGGGAAGGACUAGGACUGUUGUAAACGAAAUUGAUAAAUAUAAGCUGCCUCACUGUGUAGUAAUACACAGAGGUCCUAAAAUACAUGGCCAUAUGCUGGAAGCGGUCGCCACCGUAAUCAGCAGGGAAGAUCCUAAGAGAAUUCGAAGGAAACCCUCAGAUACCAAACGCCAUGCCCCUAAAUCUCGAUUGAGAUCGGGUGAAGAUAUGGUACAGCGCAAAAUAGGAAGCGCUCAGCGAAAUUCCUUGUCUGGUAAGUUCAGACGUGCACGAAUGGCGUAAUGAGUGGG
rnacentral:rRNA from 1 species